GAGUAACGCGUGAGGAACCUGCCUCAAAGAGGGGGACAACAGUUGGAAACGACUGCUAAUACCGCAUAAGCCCACGACCCGGCAUCGGGAAGAGGGAAAAGGAGCAAUCCGCUUUGAGAUGGCCUCGCGUCCGAUUAGCUAGUUGGUGAGGUAACGGCCCACCAAGGCGACGAUCGGUAGCCGGACUGAGAGGUUGAACGGCCACAUUGGGACUGAGACACGGCCCAGACUCCUACGGGAGGCAGCAGUGGGGAAUAUUGCACAAUGGGGGAAACCCUGAUGCAGCGACGCCGCGUGGAGGAAGAAGGUCUUCGGAUUGUAAACUCCUGUUGUUGAGGAAGAUAAUGACGGUACUCAACAAGGAAGUGACGGCUAACUACGUGCCAGCAGCCGCGGUAAAACGUAGGUCACAAGCGUUGUCCGGAAUUACUGGGUGUAAAGGGAGCGCAGGCGGGAAGACAAGUUGGAAGUGAAAUCCAUGGGCUCAACCCAUGAACUGCUUUCAAAACUGUUUUUCUUGAGUAGUGCAGAGGUAGGCGGAAUUCCCGGUGUAGCGGUGGAAUGCGUAGAUAUCGGGAGGAACACCAGUGGCGAAGGCGGCCUACUGGGCACCAACUGACGCUGAGGCUCGAAAGUGUGGGUAGCAAACAGGAUUAGAUACCCUGGUAGUCCACACCGUAAACGAUGAUUACUAGGUGUUGGAGGAUUGACCCCUUCAGUGCCGC
rnacentral:rRNA from 1 species